ACAGUGGUGGCUCAGUGGUAGAAUCCUUGCCUUCAGUGCAGGAGACCUGGGUUCAAUCCCCAGCCAAUGUA